GGGGCAGUAGCUCAGACGGUAGAGCGUUCGUUUGGUAUACGAGAGGUUGUGGGAUCGAUACUCCACUUCUUCA
rfam:Zostera marina strain Finnish scaffold_11, whole genome shotgun sequence.